rnacentral:misc_RNA from 1 species
UCCGACCACUUCACCUCUCUUGAGCAGAACCUUCAGAAGAAAUCAGAAGCCCUCAAACACAAAUUCCAGACCCUGGACCAUGACACCAAGGCUACGCUUUCCUCCCUCAAGAAGCGUGAGGUCACUAUUGAUGGUAGCGUGGAGAUCGCACUCGAGCGCGUCGAGGAACACAGAGAAGACGCUCUCAAGUCCCUCGAGAACCACAAUUUUGACCAUCCUGAUGGCGAAGUGGAUGACGGCGAUGCACUGUUACAGCUUCUC